rnacentral:rRNA from 1 species
UACGUAGGGUGCGAGCGUUGUCCGGAAUUAUUGGGCGUAAAGGGCCCGUAGGCGGUCUGUCGCGUCGGGAGUGAAAACUCAGGGCUUAACCCUGAGCCUGCUUCCGAUACGGGCAGACUAGAGGUAUGCAGGGGAGAACGGAAUUCCUGGUGUAGCGGUGAAAUGCGCAGAUAUCAGGAGGAACACCAGUGGCGAAGGCGGUUCUCUGGGCAUUACCUGACGCUGAGGAGCGAAAGUGUGGGGAGCGAACAGG